GCCCCGGUGACGGAACUGGCAUACGUGUCUGCCUUAGAAGCGGAAUUCUGGGAGUUCGGCUCUCCCCUGGGGCACCA
rnacentral:tRNA from 1 species